GGGGUUGUGGCUCAUUGGUAGAGCACUUGCCUAGCAUGUGUGAGGCACUGGGUUCAAAUCUCAGCACCA
rnacentral:tRNA from 1 species